GAUGAACGCUGGCGGCGUGCCUAAUACAUGCAAGUCGAGCGAACAGACGCGGAGCUUGCUCCUCUGACAUUUUCGUCGCACACGUGAGUAAAACGUGGAUAACCUAUCUCUAUGACUGGGAUAACUUCGGGAAACCGGAGCUAUUACCGGAUAUUAUAUUUAACCGCAUGGUUCAAUAUUGAAAGACGGUUUUGCUGUCACUUAUACAUUGAUCCGCGCCGCAUUAGCGAUUUGGUAAGGUAACGGCUUACCAAGGCAACGAUGCGUAGCCUACCUGAGAGGGUGAUCGGCCACACUGAAAGUGAGACACGGCCGAGACUCCUACGGGAGACAACAGUAGGGAAUCUUCCGAAAGGGGCGAAAGCCUCACGGAGAAACGGCGCGUGAGAGAUGAAGGUCUGGGGAGUGUAAAACUCUGUUAUGAGGGAAGAAGAAAUGUGGAAAUAAGUAAGAACGAUUGAAGGGAACCUAAUAAGAAAGCAACGGCUAACUACGG
rnacentral:rRNA from 1 species